UGCCGUCAGUGCGCCUCCCCCCUGCCUAGCCCCCCUCUGCGGCUCGCCGCGCCGCGCCGGGCUGCGCGGCGGCAGCGAGGGUGGUGGCCCAGGGGCCCCGGGGCAGGGGCGGACGGGCCCAGCCUGCCCGUGUUCAGCAGGGCGAAGAUCCGCGGGGGGAAGUGCGCCGCUGCGGCCGGCUGCACCACCCCCUCCUUCCCGCAGCGCGGAGAGCUCGGCCCAGGCUCCCCCGGCCCAGGCAGCAGGUGAUGGAGGGGAACAUUUACCCCUUGGUCAUGAAGGUGUUUCCCCUAGAGACUGUGGAAAGAGUGCAUUCCUUCCAGAAACAUCUCACCAGGCUGUUGGUCAUUGCCUUCUCACAAGGUACCAUAGCAAUUAAGAAACAGGCAUUGCAACACAGAGGAAAGAUGAUCUAGAUAUACAACAAGGCUACUCAGCGGAAGAUCCAGACUAACAUGGCUACCCCUCUGAUACAAUGAUUAUGAAGGCUCCUGCCCAGUCCUGAGUUAACAGGGAGCAGACACCAGCAGGAGAAGGCUACCAAACCUUCUCAGCCUGAGGAUGGAGUGGGGCCAGCUGAAAGAGACAAAUGGCAACCCCACUGCAGAAGCUCCUGGACACUAACAUCAAUCAGGUUCUUAAAAGAAGGACUUUAUUAUGAAGAAAGAAGUAAAAGGACCACACCAGAAAAAUUAGGAUGGAAGAUAUAUUUUCAGGAGGAGAUGUCCCUACUUGGCUUCUCUCUCCAUCCGGAGAGGGAACAAAAACAAAGAGAACACAAACAACCCCCGCCCUGCCAGAUUUGAAAGUAUCUUCUUUCAUUAUUGGGCCUUCUGGUCUGGUGCCAACCAGGUUAUUUGAGCUUCUUAACCCCUUACAGAUAUGGUACUGGUACCCAAACCUGUAACUUCAGGGGAAGCUACAUACAACUGGGAUUGGAGAUCUGAGGACUGUGAGAAGAGCAGAAGCAGUACUGUGCACACAUCAUUAAUUUAUAUGUUGAUCAGUCUCCUCUUCCACAAUUUCAAGAUGUAUUCAUUUUGCUGGCAAGGAUGGAAUAAAUAUGCCCCAAAGCAGACUGUAGGUGAGAUAGAAGCAGGGGCGGCUCUAGCCAUUUCGCCACCCCAAGCAUGGCGGCAUGCCUGCGGGAGGUCCACCAGAGCCGCCUGCUUCCCUCCCGGUGACCGGCAGAGCGCCCCCCGCAGCAUGCCGCCC